rnacentral:rRNA from 1 species
GACGAAGGAUGCAAGCGUUAUCCGGAAUUAUUGGGCGUAAAGAGUACGUAGGCGGCUUGUCAAGUCCCGGGUUAAAUCCCGCAGCUUAACUGCGGAUCGGCCUUGGAAACUGGCUUGCUGGAGUGUGGUAGGGGUAGCGGGAAUUCCUGGUGUAGCGGUGAAAUGCGUAGAUAUCGGGAAGAACACCUGAGGCGAAAGCGCGCAACUGGGCCCUAACUGACGCUGAGGUACGAAAGCUAGGGGAGCGAAUGGG